rnacentral:rRNA from 1 species
GAAUAUGGGGGGACCAUCCUCCAAGGCUAAAUACUCCUGACUGACCGAUAGUGAACCAGUACCGUGAGGGAAAGGCGAAAAGAACCCCGGCGAGGGGAGUGAAAAAGAACCUGAAACCGUGUACGUACAAGCAGUGGGAGCCCCACCACUAAGCCAGUGGUGAACUCCACAUACGCAUCCUUUGCUGAGGAUACGGUUAACGGAGCGAAAGCGACGUUCAACCGCAAAAGAAGCAGAGGGGGCUUAGUGGUGGGGUGACUGCGUACCUUUUGUAUAAUGGGUCAGCGACUUAUAUUCUGUAGCAAGGUUAACCGAAUAGGGGAGCCGGAGGGAAACCGAGUCUUAACCGGGCGUUAAGUUGCAGGGUAUAGACCCGAAACCCGGUGAUCUAGCCAUG